GGCUUAUCUCGUCAUGAUUUUGCAUCUUGAAUGAAGACAUUUUGCUCAUCAAUAUUGUUCACGAAUAAUCAGAAUGGUUUAGGAUAAUCAUAUGAUUAUUAUGGUGUGUUUACCAGAUGCAGUACAUUGAAAUUUGUUCUAUUAUGUCCUCUCAUUACAUAUUGAAUUAAAACCUUUAACCCAUGAAUUCAUCAUUUGAGUUAAGAAGUAAUAUCAGCAUUAACCUGAGUAUCAGACUCUAUUUUAUUUAUUUAUAGGCCUGUUUCCAGGUUAUAUUAACAUUAGCUAGCCUACUUGACAACAGGCAACGGUCAUAGUUCACUAAGAAGUUUCUUUAUCUCUAUAGGAACUUCAUGAAUCCGGGGAACUGGGCUCAGUAUUGUCGCCAAAUGCAUCCUCCUAACCUUAAAAUUGUCCCUGCAACAUUCUGGUAAUAUCAAUGAUAAAGGAAGAGAAGAAUGUAUGACAUUUGAAACAUAAAUAAUAAUAGAAACAGAAAUAAUAAUAGAAACAGAAGCCAUAGUAUUUGUAUUUGUAUUUCGGUACGCGACUUGCAUAGACAUUAUUUUAUAUACAUAGAGAAUAACACAUGGGUGCGCGGAAAUACCAGAUUUAUUUCGAGUGUUGAACAUGAUAUCUCACGAGUGAGCGCAGCGAACGAAUGAGAUAUCAUGUUCAACACGGGAAAUAAAUCUGGUAUUUCCAAGCACCCAUGUAUUUUUCUGUUUAUUAUAUAAACAAAAUUCAGUGAAAAACAAUAAAACGUCCGUGGCAAUGCGUUUUACAACAAAUGAUAUUUUCACACGUAAAAAUAUCGUAUUUUUUACGUGUGUUUAAAAAACGUGCCAAAAACUCUAUAUAACACUUAUGUUUAUAUAAUAAAUAGUAUUAAAAUCCAGAUACGGUGUAUGGUAAAAAAUUAUUUAGCUGUUGUAGGCUGUUGUAU